UUACUAGUAGUUUUACGAUGUUUCAAAA
rnacentral:sRNA from 1 species